rnacentral:rRNA from 1 species
CCCUUAGAUGUUCUGGGCCGCACGCGCGCUACACUGAUGCAUUCAACGAGUUUUUCCUGGUCCGAGAGGAAUGGGUAACCUUUUGAAAGUGCAUCGUGCUAGGGAUAGACUAUUGCAAUUAUUGGUCUUCAACGAGGAAUUCCUAGUAAGCGCAAGUCAUCAGCUUGCGUUGAUUACGUCCCUGCCCUUUGUACACACCGCCCGUCGCUACUACCGAUUGAAUGGCUUAGUGAGGCUUCCGGAUUGGUUUAGAGAAGGGGGCAACUCCAUCUUGGAACCGAGAAGCUAGUCAAACUUGGUCAUUUAGAGGAAGUAAAAGUCGUAACA